rnacentral:lncRNA from 1 species
GCCGAGGCGCGCUGUCCGGGUGGUGGGAGCUCAACCCGCGACCGCGGCUACGAUUCUCUUGGCUCCUGCCCUCGCCUUAGUCGCUCUGCGGGGUUGGUUCGGUCCCGGCACUUCCAGAGGCCUCAGGGUCCUGGUCUUGUAGAGACUUCCUGAACGGUGGCGCCUGUUCCAGUGUGUGUGCGCUAACUGCCUGUUCUGUGCCAGCCGCGCGUGGCCGAAGGGCGGGAGGACGGGGGUUGUGGAGGGGAGGAUGGAGGUUGGGGAGACAGGGCGGGGACGAGAUAAGAGGUCGGGGGGUGGGGAGGAUGGUCGCGGGGCGGUCUGGGGCUGGAGACAAGGGGCCUGAGGUGCGGGUACGCACUGAACAUUCCAACCGUCCCCAGCCGGCCGGGUUUCAGGUUUGAAAAGGUGGGAAGGUUAGCUGUCCUGGCGCUUUUCCUCCACGUGUUGUGCGGCUCCGCUGGAGUUCGGGUCCAGCACCUUCUACUCCGAGGGAGAGAGCCGCGGGGAGAGCCCUGUUCGGGCCCGCGGCUCGAACUGACCGCCGGCUCUGCCGAGCAGCCUCGACCCCAGGGCACCCCCGGGAGAGAGGGCGCGGCUCAGGUCCCUGCCCGAACCCCUGGGGUGCUGAGAGACUCCCCAGCGCCCCGCGUGGGCUCCCGGCCUCUCCACAGUUGAGGAUCCUGUAAGGGGCGAGCCCUUUUUCCCAUAAUGGCUGUAGUGAGUGGGUGUGCUUUCCCGAUUGACCCGCUGUGAGGUGAGCGAUUUUAACCCACAUCCUUACUGACUUCACAGCACAGUAGGUGCUUCGUGGCUGUCCGGUGCAAGGAUGUAUAUACACACACACCUUUGCAAAAAAAGUUUGCAUCUCUUGCCUGGCUGUUUGUUGCAAUAAUCUAUCAUUUGUCUUUUCCUUUCCAGCAUUGCAGAUGAUCCCUUGAAAAGAAGUCUGAUCACAUUCACACUCUGCUCCGCCCAUUUCACUCAGUAAAGCUGAAGUCCUGCAGUGCUUUGCUCUGCCUCCGGUCACCCCGCCAUACUCCCAGACCCUCCCUCCCUCUCACUCCACUCCAGCUGCCCUGGCCUGGUUCAGAGUCCCUGACUCUUCCCUCCCCGGAAACACUUUCUGGCGGCUCUUGUCCCCGACUCUUCCCACCUGCUCUUUCAGUCUUUGCUCAAAUGUUGCCUCUUCAGUGUGGCCUAGGCCGUCACCACCCGGCCUUCACCGCAUACCUUUUUCUCUGCAACACCUACUCAACACACCGUACUAUAGAACUUACUGGCAUGCUAUAAAUGUAUUACCCUUAUCUGUUGCCUCUAACCAAAAGCGUGUUCCAUGAGAGCCAUGGGUCCCUGCCUACUUCUGUCUUGUUUCUGGGGCAGCCUCUGUACCUGGACAUCGUAUACUCUUAACACGGAUUUGUCAAAUCAAAUGAAAUUUAACAAUACAAACUUCACAAGUAUGCAUAGUGUAGGAAAAUUCCCCAAAAUUCAAAAUUUCAGUCUACCUCCAUCUUUUCAAAUGACCACAGUGCUUUAUAAAAUGACAUGGUCCUUUGAGACUGUUUCAGAGAGUAAUUUGUGCAAAUGCAAUGUGCAAAAAGUCACAGUGGAGGUGUUUCCUCCCCCAUUCAAGAGCUGCUCUCUCUCUAAUCAGACAGCACCCCACACCCCAAGGCAGUCUGUCCAGUGCUCCUAAAGGAGAGCAGCUCCCCUUUUCCAGUUAUGGGAGAUGUGGGCAAUAAAGCAUUACUGU